AACUUUUAGCAAUGGAUCACUUGGCUCUCGCAUCGAUGAAGAACGCAGCGAAAUGCGAUAAAUAAUGUGAAUUGCAGAAUUCAGUGAAUCAUCGAAUCUUUGAACGCAUCUUGCGCUCCUUGGUAUUCCGAGGAGCAUGCCUGUUUGAGUGUCAUUUGACUUCUCUCAACCACAUCAUCAUCAUGAAUGUGGCUUGGAUGUGGGGGAUUUUGCAGGCUUCUUUCUCAUAGUAGUCUGCUCCUCUGAAAUGCAUUAGUGGUGUCUGAGCUGCUAUUUGGUGUGAUAAAUUAUCUAUGCCUCUGGUAUGCUGGUCAGCACUGCUCAUAAACAAAAAUGUUAUAUUUGACAAAUUUGACCUCAAAUCAGGUAGGACUACCCGCUGAACUUAAGCAUAUCAAUAAGCGGAGGCU
rnacentral:misc_RNA from 1 species